rnacentral:rRNA from 1 species
CCUACGGGAGGCAGCAGUGAGGAAUAUUGGUCAAUGGGCGCGAGCCUGAACCAGCCAAGUAGCGUGAAGGAUGACUGCCCUACGGGUUGUAAACUUCUUUUAUAAAGGAAUAAAGUGAGGCACGUGUGCCUUUUUGUAUGUACUUUAUGAAUAAGGAUCGGCUAACUCCGUGCCAGCAGCCGCGGUAAUACGGAGGAUCCGAGCGUUAUCCGGAUUUAUUGGGUUUAAAGGGAGGGUAGAUGGGGUGUUAAGUCAGUUGUGAAAUUUUGCGGCUCAACCGUAAAAUUGCAGUUGAUGCUGGCAGUCUUGAGUACAGUUGAGGUAGGCGGAAUUCGUGGUGUAGCGGUGAAAUGCUUAGAUAUCACGAAGAACCCCGAUUGCGAAGGCAGCUUACUAAACUGUGACUGACAUUGAUGCUCGAAGGUGUGGGUAUCAAACAGGAUUAGAUACCCGGGUAGUC